rnacentral:rRNA from 1 species
AGCUGUGGCUAUGUCCCCCCCCCCCCGGUGCCUGAUCUUGUCUGAUCUUGGAAACAAAACAGGAUCAGGCCUGGUCAGUACUUGGAUGGGAGACCGUUUGGGAAUACACAAUGCUGUAGGUC